rnacentral:rRNA from 1 species
UACGUAGGUGGCAAGCGUUGUCCGGAAUUAUUGGGCGUAAAGCGCGCGCAGGUGGUUUCUUAAGUCUGAUGUGAAAGCCCACGGCUCAACCGUGGAGGGUCAUUGGAAACUGGGGAACUUGAGUGCAGAAGAGGAAAGUGGAAUUCCAAGUGUAGCGGUGAAAUGCGUAGAGAUUUGGAGGAACACCAGUGGCGAAGGCGGCUUUCUGGUCCGAUUCUGACGCUGAGGCGCGAAAGCGUGGGGAGCGAUCCGG